rnacentral:ncRNA from 1 species
AUCCGACAAAGGCAAAACUGGUGAAAGCCAGUGACGCAAAGCUACAGGGGCUACAGUCUUUAGGACCAUGCCAGCCAGUUGCCGGU